rnacentral:tRNA from 1 species
GCUUCCGUAGCUCAGUUGGUUAGAGCUUCGUACUAAUACUUUCUCCACGAGACAGUCUUGGUGAUGCGAAGGUCGCAGGUUCAAGCCCUGCCGGGAGCA